rnacentral:misc_RNA from 1 species
AAGUCGUAACAAGGUUUCCGUAGGUGAACCUGCGGAAGGAUCAUUAUCGUGGGGCUUCGGCCCCGUCGAGAUAGCACCCUUGCCUUUAUGAGUACCUUGGUUCCCUCCCCCGUACCUCCGGGGAGCGGGAGGGGCCUCGUCUGUUUCCCCGCGGCGGCGAAAGCCCCCGGGGACCACGAAACACGCUGUAACCACCUGUAACCGUCUGAUAAACAAACAAAAAAUCAAAACUUUCAACAACGGAUCUCUUGGUUCUG